UGCUCACUUCAGCAGCAGUACACCAAAAUUGGAACAAUAUAGACAAGAUUACCAUGGUCCCUGUGCAAGGAUGACAAACAAAUUCAUGAAAAGUAAUCUUUUUAG
ensembl:snRNA U6 U6 spliceosomal RNA